rnacentral:rRNA from 1 species
CAGUCGCCGCGGUAAUACGUAGGUGGCAAGCGUUGUCCGGAAUUAUUGGGCGUAAAGCGCGCGCAGGUGGUUUAAUAAGUCUGAUGUGAAAGCCCACGGCUCAACCGUGGAGGGUCAUUGGAAACUGUUAAACUUGAGUGCAGGAGAGAAAAGUGGAAUUCCUAGUGUAGCGGUGAAAUGCGUAGAGAUUAGGAGGAACACCAGUGGCGAAGGCGGCUUUCUGGCCUGUAACUGACACUGAGGCGCGAAAGCGUGGGGAGCAAACAGGAUUAGAUACCCGCGUAGUCCCUGUCUCUUAUAC